CUUUCGAGAAAGAACGUUGUCGUUGAAGUCGUUCAAGCUACGGACGCAGUUUUUCAAAAGACAUGGAUUUACAAAGCUUCCCUUGAAGACAAACAGUAUUUGGAAAGCUUGUCAACAAUCAAAUUUGCUAGCUUGUCCAGUUUUGUUGCGGGAAAGCGAGUUAAUUUGCCACCCAGCAGUUGGAACAAGAAGCACUCGCGGCCCUGAUGCAAACAAAAGUACAACAAUCUCUUUUUGCUCAACAAAUUUGAACAGCUGGAGUUCUUAGCAUUUCAUUAACAAGAGGAGUGGAAACCGAGAUAGAGAGCUGUUGUCGCAUAUCAUGCUAAAUCAAGGUAAGCCUUGAAUAUCUGUAUGGAUCUGUAGAACUCCUGCUCUUCACAGAUCAGAAACAGUGCAUUCCUUGUUUUACCUACUUUUUUGUUUUGUUUAUUUUUCUUGGUAUAGCGUUGGAUAAGCGUUCUGCCUGCCUCAAGAUUGGCCACAAUGCAAGCCCAGAGGCGAACACGUCACUCAGUUGAAAAUAUGAGUAUAUAUACUCUGUCUUCUCUGUUGCUGGCUCGCUAUUACAUAAUUUAUUGUUAACGGUGACGUUAUGCCUUUCGUUGAGAGCUCCCUUUCUUGUACACAGUGAAUUUACGCUUAUAUCAGUGAUGUACUUGCCCAUUGUUACCAAAAUCAAGAAGGCGUGGAUGCCGGCACCGACACUGUUGAUGUGAUAACAAAACAAGAGGAGUUUUCUGUGUAUACUUACUGCCGACUACGAUGCAAGGCUAAGACGAAAUACACUCCAUGAAAAUUGAUUACAAAUUGUGACAACUCUAAGAAACAUCAGGAGAGAAUCGCAAUCAAGCAGAACGGGGGAUAAUUGUAAGUAUCACUACUAAUUAUACUCUUGCCAAGUUAUUUUUCAGUCAAACCUCUUCUAGGUAAUCUGUCAUUUGAUUAAUUUUGAUAAACAUUGAGGCACUGUAAAUGGAUACUGCAUUCAAAAAAUCUGGUGUUUAACAUUUAUACAAAGUAUUGCUUACAAGAGGUUAGACUGUGUCUUUACGUUGGAAUGGGGGUGGCGGG